UCCCUUAGUAACGGCGAGCGAAAAGGGAUGAGCCCAGCAUGUAAAUCUCCGGUUUCCGGCGAAUUGUAGUCUGGAGUAGCAACUCCUGGUGCCGUGCCGGCCCAAGCAUCUUGGAAUAGAUCGCCUCAGAGGGUGAGAGCCCCGUAGGUCGGUACGAGCUCCUACACGGAGUGCUCACGCAGAGUCGGGUUGUUUGGGAAUGCAGCCCCAAUUGGGUGGUAAACCCCAUAUAAGGCUAAAUACCUGUGGGAGACCGAUAGCAAAAAAGUACCUCGAGGGAACGAUGAAAAGACCGCUGGCAAGCGAGUGAAAGAGUGCAUGAAAUUGUAUAGUGGGAAGGGAUGGCCUGGCGUAUUGCCCGCGGGUAUACACUGCUCUUUGAGCUCUUGAAUACACCGUGGGCUGGCUGGUGCCGACACCUGCGCUUGCAAAUCCCCAAACUAAGGUGUUUGGCUCUCAA
rnacentral:rRNA from 1 species